rnacentral:rRNA from 1 species
UACGUAGGUGGCAAGCGUUGUCCGGAUUUACUGGGCGUAAAGAGCGCGCAGGCGGUCGGAUCAGUCGAAUGUGAAAGCCCCCGGCUCAACUGGGGAGGGUCAUUCGAUACUGUCCGACUCGAAGGCAGGAGAGGGAAGCGGAAUUCCCGGUGUAGUGGUGAAAUGCGUAGAUAUCUGGAGGAAUACCGGUGGCGAAGGCGGCAUCCUGGACCGACAUUGACGCUGAGGAGCGAAAGCCAGGGGAGCAAACGGG